AUGUUAUUAGUUAUCGUUCGAGGUAAUUUUGUGUCUCGGAAGUUGCAUUUUUGUAUUGAUAAUCUUUAUCGUGAGCACAGGGUAGUUCAGAGAAGACAUAAUAAAGUGAUUGAAUUUUGUCAAUAAAGAAAUAAAAGAAAACAUUAAUAUUAAUUAUAUUUUAAGAUAAAUUGAAUGUAAAAAUAUAAAAAAAAUAAAGAUUUUUCAUCGCGUGUCAGUCUCUUAUAUUUCAAGUUCAUUUUGUAAGUCUCCCUAACUUUCAAAUUAUUUUGUCUCCAACUGAAUGUGUUUUGGUUUUAAGGAGUUAGCUUUCUUACUUUCAAUAUCUUUGACACGAUGUGAGUCAUUAAAAAUAUUUUAGAGUUGGGCAAUUUAUUAUUCCAUUUUGCUUCAUUCUGGCUUAUUAACUGUCCAAUGUUUUAGGUUAAGUUUUGCAGGUUUCGAAGUUGUCCGCUGUUUCAGGGUCUGUUGGGAAUCUCGGAGAAUCCUCAGCAGACCAUUUUUUCAGAAUCUGCUGGUAAAUUAUUUCUUUAAUUAUUGUCCGUUGUUUCAGGGUUUUAUAUUUCUAUUUAAUGUCGUUUAUUCUCUCAGGCAUUUAGUUUUGGAAGUCCUACUUAAUGUGGAAGUUUUUAUGUUAUUACUUUUUGAAUAAAGUUUGGCUUUUGGAUAACAUGUAACUUUGUCAUUCCGAUUUAUCCCCCAGAUAAAAGAUAUUAAACACGAUAUGAAUCAAAAAAAGUAUUUUGAGCUUCACCGAUUUCUAGAAUUAUUUCCGGAUGUUUUGACCCACUAAGUCGAUGAUCCAUAUUUUUGGCUUUAUUUUGAUGAAAUUCGAUGUUUUCGAAUACGGUUUUACAAAAAUUUAAGUAGGAUUAAUGUCUAGUGAUUGCGGGACCUAUGAAGUUAUUUUUAAUUCCAUAACAACCAUUCACGUACAAGAUAAGACGUUUGUUUUGGGUCGUUAUCCUCUUGUAAAUGAAAGUGGCUACUAUUAACAGUCGUUUUAAGCACACUUAAAAUUUAGUUUUUUUCUAUUUAUAUAACAUAUUGUUUCUUUUAAUAUAUUUCCUAUGAUCAAAGCUAAGGUUGCUUUUGUAUUUUGUUUAAUAUUGUUUUAUAAGUUCAUUACAAAGAUAAGUUUGUUUUGAUAUAUUUUGUUUGGUGAAGCAUAAGAUGACAAAUUAAGUUGCAUGCCACAUAUUUUACCCAUUCCUCGUUUCGUUUUCGUUUUAAAAUUUAUUAGCUUUUGAAUUUGAAAAUAUGAAUUUUUAAACAAAUUUAGGGAUUAAAUCAAUGACAACAAACAAAUCAAAAAGCUUUAAGGAAAAAUUAAGUGUCAAAUACUCAUAUUCAGUGUUUGGAGAUUUAUAAAAUUCAGUUUGGAAAUAACUCACACAAAGAGCAGUAAUGACUCAAAUGGAUUAUCUUGCUCAGUCCUUAAGACACAUAUGGAGUGGAUCACAAGUUAUGUACCUUCCGCUUGCGCAUCACACGUGAGUGGCCUACUUUGCACGUUGCCUCUUGUUGAAAUAGUCGGCCCCACGUCUAUAAAGUCACCAAACAACGACGCAGUGCAUUAACCUUUACAAAUACACCACUCCUUCACUUCGAGGGUUCUUAAUAUUUUGCAGCUACACAUCACACUCUUCCAAUUUAACUACAACGAAAUCCAGAUUAAGAAGGAGCUAGUCGAUUUUAUGAGGAGGGAAGGCAUAUCGAUAGCUAUGGUCUAAGAAUCAGAGCCGCUCAGAUCUCGAAUUGUGCAGGUUUUAUCGCCUUAUGUUAAAUGAUCGCGCUCUGCACAAUAAAUCACGAAGCUACCUUCAGAAUUAUGAGCGUUUGUUAAAACUCGCGUAACCAUCGCUAGAUGGUCCAAUAUAUAGCAUACGACCAACGUCGUAUAAUUAUCUCGACGAAAAAUCGUCCAGCCUUAUGCAUACCACAUUCUUUGACCCGAAGAGAUUUUCGAUCCGUUGUAUUUGUUGUUGUAGCGGAUAUCUAAUCCCUUGGUUGGUGGGUAAGGUUUGGUUUGGUUGUCAUCGAAGUCAUAUAACGGUAGAUCCAGGAAAAUGCUGUUACGACGAGAUGGGACCAUAGAAGAGGAAUGUUAAAUGAGUGCGGUUCUUUGAACAAGGUUAGUAUCAUGCAGGGACUCAUUGUAUAUUUGGCAUGUCGGGGUCAAUUCUGAAUAAGUAGGAAGUCAAUUUACAACACAAGACAGGGAAAAAACCGUGUUACCCAACAAUUGCGUAAAAUGCCAAUCAACUGCGCACCGAUUGCUUUCACCGACAAAGAGGUUCAAAGUGUCACACUAUGACCAAAUCGUCUAAAUCAAUUCUGUAGUAAAAUUUAAAAAUUUUGACUCAUUGUUGGAUCGUAUAUUUUUCCAUGAUGAAUUGGCAAACUUUACUGAAGCGAAAUAUCAAAAAAGUGGGGGAAAGGAAAAACUCUUCAACUUCGGGGCGUUAUUUAUUAACAUUACAAGAAUAGAAGAGAAAAAUUAAAAAUGUCAAAAAUUUGCAGGUUACCGUACCUACUAUUUUAACCUUCCUAGCAAUCUCAAAACAAAAAACGUUAAUAUAAAAUAAUGGUUCUUAAGAAAAGUUGAAAAAAAUGGUGACCGUCUAAAAAACAUAAUUUUUUUACCACUUCUUUUUUUACUUUGUCGAAUUUUUUUUACUUUGUUGAAUAACAGUAGAAUUUUAGGAAUAUGGGUAGCUCUAGACAGGUAAAUCCAUAAAGAGGGCUCUCUAAAAAUUUCAAGUAAAUCGGUCCAGUGGAAACGUUGAAAGAAAUUGACGUGAUUUUGAAUUAAGGUGUCAGUAGGAUAAUCUGGCCUGUUUUUUUGACAUUUUCAUUCAUUAGUUGAGUAGUUUAAAAAAGAGUGCUUUGAGAAAAACGCGUUUAAAGUUUAAGGUGUGCACUCCGAGCGCUUCGAACGUCGAGCGGUCUUACUAUUUUUGGGCCUUUUUCGAAUGCUUCCAAUGGUAAGUGGGUUUCUACAUUAAUUCUAAGAGUAUAAAGGAACAGAAAAUGCAAAAAAAAAAAAAAUAAAAAUGAUUACCCUACUGACCCCUUAACAAACGGAAUGGUUUCAAUUAAGAUGUGUUCUGCAAACCGAAUGAUUUGUUUACUUCGAAGUUUUUUUACUUCACAUCGAAACAUUUGUUUGAAACAAAUGACAUUUUUUAUCCAACUUUAAUGUAAAUAUUUUAUUUUCCAAAAAUUUUAAUUUUCUCGAACGAAUAUGAGUGCUGCCGGAAAAGUACAGUAAGUUAAUGAGUUCACGUUAAAAAUAAUUAUUUUUAAUUAUAAUUAGAGUGAGUUUUCCAAGGGUUCGAAUAAUUCGUUUGAAGUUGCUGAUGUUCUGUUUCAAUCUUGAGUGGAAUUGUCACAUGUUCAAUAUUUUUGUAUGUCUCGAAGGAGUAGAAAAAUUGUGCACAAAUAUAUACUUACAUGCAUAUGUACAUGCGCAAAUUUAUAAAGCUUUCAUUAUCACUCAAAUUUCACACGUAAGGUUAGGUAAGCUAAUCUGACUGAUAUUCGUGAAAUCACGAAUGAUUCCACUUGGACUGCUAGGAAAGUUCGUUGUGAUUAAAAUAUUGUCACAUAUCAACAAAGCAUCUUGAGCCUGAUAAAAUCAAUUAAUAUUAGCGGUAGCUAAAAUCAAUUCCACCCGCUGUAUCUGAUUCGUAGAAGGCAUGACUAGUGAAACAUGUAGAGAGUGAGACCCAAUAAGACAGUGUCCAGUUAAGAUAUCUAUUUUUGCACCGAUGUGAACCUUGUUUAAAGCAAAUAAUUCAAUGGACACGUUGAUCCAUAAAUAUCACUGUUGUAUAGGUGUUGGUUGUUAACCAAUACUUAUUAAAGUCACCCAAUAUUCAAAGAGCCAUGUCGGAUUUAUGUACACCUAUCUGAAUGCACAUCGAGACAGCUCUUGACAGGAAACUGUCCCUCCAAUCAAACGUUAUAAGAUUUGGUUUUUUAAACUACAUUUUAAUUUAUGAAUUCGGGUUUUAGAACAAAACAUUUCACUUUGAUAUCACAUCAAAAUUAUUCGAUUUCUUGAACAAGCAAAUUUUAUUCUCAAACAUGGUUUGUAUAUGAAAGUGAAUUAAGGAACAUGGCCUGAGCAGAAAAUGCUCAUUUGACUGAUCCUACAGUGUGGGAACUGAUGAACAUAAAUUUAUUAUUUUCGGAAGUUAUGGCCACACAAAAGUUUGGCUUAAAUUAAAUUCAGUACUUAACUCCCAAAAAGAGGAUCAGUGAUAGUAUGGGGCUGCAUAGCACCAAAUACUAGGGUUCAUUGAAGGAAUAAUGGAUAGGACUGUGUAUAUAUGUACAUAUUUUAAAGGACUGUUAUCUUCCAAAAUGUAAAAAAAACUAAAUCUAGAGGAAUCUCUAGAGAGGAAAGGCCAGUCCAUAUUUUUAAAGGAUAAUGAUCCCAAACAUUCUUAGAACAUCGUCCACAGUCGCCGGAUUUAAAUGUCAUAGAUGAUUUGUGGGAUCGUCUUAAAGCUUCGGAACGUUACUUCAAUAUCCACGCACAAAACAGUUUUUCUUGAGGAAUGGGGUAGAAUAUCGGUAGAAAUCACCAAAGCCUUGAUUCUUUCAAUGUGUGCUGUAAAAAAAGAAAUUUAAAUAAAAUAACAUGUUUCACAAGCAAAAACUAAGUUUUUUACUUUAUACACACGUACUGACGAAAUGUGUGGCGUAUAUAUACUUUUAUGAGACUGUGUAUAUGUAUUUUCGAAAAAAAAUUGAGAUUCGAAAAACCUUCUUGUAAACACAUUCUCGAAUAGUUAAGCUGUGAAAAGAAAAUUUAUUAGUAGACUAAAAUACCUCCUUAAGAGCUUUCAUUUUAUUUCAAAGGCAAAAAGUAGACUGAUCAUAAGCGUAAUGCAUUAAAACCCACAUAUUAAAAAUAAAAUUAUAAUAAAAUUUAGAUACCAUCCUACAAGCGAUCAGAGGAUUGACACAUCCAUGCGGUUCCCGUAAAACAAUAAGUAUGAUGGCGUUAAAGUUUGAAAGAUGAGUUUGGGUCACCUAAUGAAUCAGUGUCGAUUUGCUAAAUGUUUUAGGUCAAAGGAAUGAAAGAACUUAAAUUACUAGUUGGGACAACUAAGAACCUACCAGAGCUUUUAAAUAUAUAGCCAAUUCGAAACCUCUGUUAAGAUCGUUACCCGACCUGACGGCGAAAAUGAAGACCCAGUGUACUUAAGACUUCUCCCUUACCCAAGGGGGGUAUCAGGUUUCGUAAAUACUGAAAUCCAGAAUCUUUUGGCUUAUACAAGGUGUGUUCCACACAGAACAAAUGGUUUUUUCGGCAAAAUCAAUUUAUUUUAUUCAAAUAGUCUCCUUCUGCUUCAAUACAACUUUUUGCACGGUUCAAAAGCAUGUCGAACGAGUGUUUAGCUCGUUGGCAGGUAUGUGGUCGCCAGCAUCCGGUGCAAGCCUUUUGAAUGGCCUCUACGUCUGCAUAACGCUUUUCUUUCAUGGGCAAAUGCAUUUUUCCGAAAAGGAAGAAGUCGCGCGGUGCCAUAUCAGGUGAAUACGGGGAGUGGUUAAUUCACAUCUAUCUUUAUUACCAUCUACCUAACUCAGCUAGCAUUCACCAUAAAGAAUGCCUGUGAAGUUUUAUUGUGCAACUGCGAAAGAAGAUACAGAAGGCAACUAUUUGCACAGAUCGCCAGGCGGCAGUACCAGCAUUGUCGUCGCCAAAGAUCAACUCCAGCGUAGCACAGAAUAUAUGGAUAUCUACAACCAAAUGCAGAAUAAUAAAACAUCAUUGGCCAAACUAUGUCAAAACAAAAACCAAGACUUAUUACAUAGGUUCAAUUACAGCUGUCAUAGCGAGGCACUGGCCAUGUGGAGAAUUAUAAAAUAUGCAAUUCAAUUAUCCUUGGCACAUAAAGGACAAAUGUAAAUUAAAUCUGUAAGCCGUUUAUAACGAAAAUGGCUACUUACAAUCACAGGUGAUCUUUAUGAGAGUCCAGCUGGAGACUGUAAAUCAGAUGUCGCAAACGCAAUACACUGCGAUCUAUACAUAUUGGCACGAUCGCAAGAUAACUUGCUUCAGUUUUCCCAACAAAAAAAUUUAUACCAUGGGACGGCAUUAAAAAAGCGUAAACUUUACAAAAAAGAUUAAAGUUAUCAAUCAGUAUACAGUAUAACAGGAAUGUAUAGAACAGUCGGACUGCAUAUAACUCUGCAACAGAGUACACCCCAUCUGGGUGCCAAGUCAUUAAGAGAUAGCCGGGAAUGAAUUGGGGUCGAAACCCUGUAUCAAGUUCCGCUACAUGAAUGAAUGAAUUAAUGAUGAUGAGGAAUGUACUGCGACCUUUAGUCUAUUGUGCCCUCUCCUUACUCACAUUGACUCGCCUAUACCCAGCCCAUUAAUGAAGUCCAGUAGACUUCCUGGCGAUAGCGAGGCAAUGUGAUUCCUAUCCGGAAACAACACUCCAAGGGCCUUAGAUCUGCGUCUACAGAUUGCUGUGCACUCAAUCAGCAGAUGCUCCGGGGUUUCAGGCUCCCUGUCGCAGAAACGGCAGUUGGCGUAAGCUGAUAGGCCCAUGCUGUCCAGACGCCUAUUUAGCUUGCAGUGACCAGUGUACCAUGUGACUAGCAGCCUGAGUUUGUUCCUGGGGAGGUUUAUUACAAUUUUUAACCUUUUCAAGCUGUAUCCUCCCAUUAGCAGCUUGGCGUGUCUCAUACCAUGAGCUUGUAGCCAAUACUCCUCCCUGCCUACUCUUUCCUCUUUACGGAGCAGUUCCUUCAUGGUAUGGGGCCCCACCCCCGUAAAGGGUUCGGGUCCUACUAUCUUGGUGGAGCCUGCGGGCGAGCUUAUCGGCCAGUUCGUUGCCGGCUAUACCUUUGUGACCAGGCACCCGGAUCAGGUGUACCUGGUUUCUUUCCGCAAGGCUAUUCAGCCUAUCCCUACACUCCUGCACCUGAAGCGAUUUGAUCUCGUAAGAGGAGAUCGCCUUUAGCGCCGCUUGACUAUAGCUGAGAAUGGCUAUUUGCUCAUUGCGAUAGUUGCGAUGGAAGUUUAUUUCUAUACACCGGCUUAUGGCAUAAACUUCUGCCUGGAAAAUGCUCAGGAACUCACCCAUGGGUGCCUAGUGCGUGGGCCCACAAUUCCUGCGCCGAUUCCCUCCGACAUUUUCGAGCCGUCGGUGUACCACCUCAUAGUACUGUUCCUCAACAACAGCUCUAGGUUGGAAUCGUUCCAAUCGUCUUUGCUGCCGAGGGUAACCUUAAACUUUUUCCUGAGUUUAACCUUUUUGGUAGCACUAUCCCUCGGGAGGAGGGCCAAAGGUAAAUUGCCACUUAUCUUUUCCAUCCUCUGAGAUGAGACUACAUUGCCUUUUCCACACCCUCUGCCGUUAUUUGCAGAAGGGUGUGUUUGGCUACCUGACCGAUGACAAAAUGAAGCGGAGUAAGUUCAAGAAGAACCUCCAGUGCUGCCGUUGGACAGGUGCGCAUUGCGCCCGUCAUGCAGACACAGGCCAGCCGCUGUAGCUUCAGUAGCUUAGUCUUAACCGAUGUUUGCGACGCUACUGAGGCCCAGGCUACCGCCCCAUAUGUGAUUAUCGGUCUCACUAUCAUGGUGUACAAACACCUAACUAUCCUUGGCAUACAACCCCAGGACCUUCCUGCCAGCGGAUUACACACCAUUAAGGCUUUUGUCGCCUUGACCAAGGUCAGGUUUACGUGCCUCAAAGUGGAGUUUAGCAUCAACCCGAGGUAUUUGACACUGUUGGUCAUCCCUAUAUCCCUGCCCCCAGUGAGAGAUUCCUAAGACCGGGUAGGGUCCUGCGUCUCGUAAACGGGAUUACUGACGUCUUGGGGGGGCUGAUAUUCAGUUCAACCUCCCUGCACCACCCCUUCGCUAGAUUGAGAUCUCUUUGGAUCAAGUCACAGAGAGUGUCCUCAUAUUUGCCUUUUGCCAUAAUUACAAUGUCGUCCGCAUACCCUUGGCAGCGGAUCCCAUUGUCCGUUAGCAGUGUUGGCAGGUCGUCUACGAUUAGACUUUAUAGCAGGGGUGAUAACACACCCUCCUGUGGGCAGCAUCUUGCUGUACCGAGACGAAUUCUGCUAUCACAUACUGUAGUCUCAGCAACCCUUGUGCGCAGUACGGCUUUUAUCCACCUACGCACUGGUGCCGCCACAUUCCUUUUCUCCAGUGCCCUGGCUACACUCUUGUGGGACGUGUUAUCAAAGGCACCUUCGAUGUCCAGGAACACGCAAAGCAUCACCUCCCCAUGCUCCAGUGAACUCUCUAUUUCAGAGACCGCUCUGUAGGCAUGCUGAGCCGCAUGCAGCGGUGAACUCUUCAGCGUCUUCGUCCUUAUUUCCUGAUCCACGGUCUUCUCCAUGGUUUUUAGUAGGAAAGACGUUGGACUUAUUGGCCUGAAAGAUUUCGCCAACGAGUAGUCUCUCCUUCCUACCUUGGGUAUGAUGAUCACCUUCACUGUCCUCCAUAUCUCAGGUAUAUACGCCAUUGCGAGGCUCUCUCUCAGCAGCCGAACUAGGUGAGGCAGCAGAAACUGUUCCCCCUGAGGCUAUCCACUACCGGAGACUUGAAUCUCUCAAACGAGGCCAUCGCCCACCGGAUCGAGUCCGCCGUAAACAGUUGUUCGGCGAUACUCCAAUCCUCGCGGGAUGGCCUGUGUUCAAUAACGGGUGGACAGUGGUCCUCCCGAACUGUCUCCGGGAAGUGCGCCCGCAGAAGCUCCAUGGCUCUGUCCUCCGCACUGGUCGUAAAUGUCCCGUCGUCGCGUUUGAUUGCUAUCUCUACGUCCUUUGUGCCCCUGGCCAGAGCUUUGUGCAGCCGAGCCGCUUCUGGCGUAGUGGCGACAUUCUCGCAGAAUCUCCUGAAGCUAGCCUGCUUUGCAGACCUAAUCUCCUUAUUGUAUAAGGUGAGAUAGCUCCGGUAUUCUGCCCAGACCCCCGUACGUUUCGCCCUGUUAAACAGGCUGCGUACUUUUUUCCGGAGGUCUGCUAGUUCCUUUGUCCACCAUUGACAGUCUCGUCUGUCUGUGGGCGCUUUUAGGGGCAGCUGCCAUGGUAAGCGUUAAUUACAGACCCGUUCAGGUCAGAAAGCCUAUUCUCCAGCCCAAGGCCUGAAACGCUAUCAUCAUUCUGCCCCCUCCUGCUUAAUUCAUUGCUUAAUAUAUCCCUGAAGGCGUCCCAAUUCGCCUUCCGAGGGUUGCGUCUAGGGGGAGUUGUCUAAUCUCUACCUUUAGCUUGAACCUUAUAAUCCUGUGGUCUGACAAGGAGGGCUCCGUCGAGACUCUCCAUUGCGAGACCAGUCAGAUUGCAGGCUCAUUGCCCAAGGUGAUGUCCAACACCUCCCUCCUGCUUUUAGUUAUGAAAGUGGGUUCACACCCUUCAUUCUCUAUUCCUAAAUUGCUGUCUACAAUGCACUCUAAAAGAGACUCACCUCUUAUGUUGCAGUCGGUACUGCCCCAUUCCGAGUGGUGAGCGUUAGCGUCGCAGCGUACGAUGAGGGGGAACCUGUGCCGUCUGCAGUGCUCUACCAGCCUUUCCACCACCUCCGGGGGUGCUGUAGGUGCCUCGCCUGGGAAGUAUGCCGAGGACUUCGUCCUGGCCUUCAAAGUCCCUAGCCUGUACCGCCACCAAGUCCUGCGUCAGGAACUCUGAAAUACAGAAGAAAUCAAUGUUAUUCCUGACAACUAUACAAGUUCUAGGGCCUCCACUACCUCCGGGGUCUCCCAUCACGGAGGUACCGCAGGUACCACUUCAUGAUGAAACCGCUCAUACCUUUCCUACGUGAAUCAUCGCACCCGCCGGGUUGACCAGCUUCUGGGAGGGGGCGUUGACCACCUCUUCUGCACCUCCUCCUUCUUCUCCUACGAGCACCGUCAGGCCCUGCCCGAUGUGACUCACCCGUGUCCGACCUGCUGCGCCUUUCGGCGGGGGUCUUGGCGGCGCUCGUUGCUGCUACAGCGGCACCAGGCGUUUUCGCCAGGUGAACGCCGCUGCAAGAGGGCACAUCGUCAUCAUCCUUCUUGGCGUGCUUCUCAAACAGCGCCCGCUCUUGUGGCGAAAGAGCGUCAAGAAAGUUAAACUUCCUCUUAGCUCCUUGACUCCCCUUGCCUGCCGCAGCACCGAUGUCCUUUCCGUUUUCUUAAGUUGUUGCCGGUGUUCCGAUUUGUCCGGAGUUUUAUUUUUAUUUGUAUUUGUACUCAUCUUUUUCUUACAACCCUUGGCUCAACAGGGUGAUCUGUCGGAUCUAUUAUUUUGAUGGGGAACUAGGAGGUCCGCCACGCCAGAGCCCCUUGGCGCAGUAAGGCCACAGUUACUCCUCAAUUCGGCCCGGUGUUGGGGAGGCUCCAUUAGAAUACAGCCGAUUUUACCUCCUGGCUGCAAACCAUCCAAUGGGCACGGGAGUCGCAUAACACCCUGGAUUAGGAGGUGGUAGCUCUUGGUUAGCGCACGCAUGCGGCACCCGACACCCCACAUGGGCAGUGCCUACUAGCACCAGCCACGCAGGUCGUCGCCGAGUAUGCCUUGCGCCUAAACCCCUGCACCUCGGCAAGGAGCCUACCAUUCGCAGAGGAACGACAUGCCGAACAAUCGUUUUGGUUUACGUGAGUAUCUGCCGACGGGAGCCUGGCACACGGUGUUUUAUAAAGCACAUAGAUCAAUACGCGUUGCGUUGAUCAGCGGCUUAAAUAAUAACUGCUUUUUGAACGUAUGUUUGGUUUCAAUUGGAAGGGACACCUUUUCCACCUUGGUCGGGUUCGAGGCUCAUCUAUAACCUCUGCCUUGCUGUGGAUCCAGCACUAUACUGGAUUGAAUUUUUCAACCGUACCUACCUUUAAGUUUAAACCACAGCCAUCACGAAUCUCCACAAAGUGCGAAACCCAAUGAGCAGAUUGGAGCGAAAUCCAAGGGCUUACAGCUGCCCGUGGUACCAGAUUUAAGUCACCGGUCAGACCUUGUAGCUUUUGCUACUACCACUUGAGUACCCGACAACUCAAUGGCUGCUGACAUUUGUCGCUUAAACUUCUAAUAACUUCAAUAGGAGGAAUCUCAGUCAAAGUCUAUAAUAUCAUUUCAAGUUGAGUAUUAUAGCACUAUUUCUGACAACCACUAUGCUGAAACUUUUUAGCAAGCCCAAAAUACAGACGUAGUGCGUAAGGAUUUUAGUCGCCUCUUACCGCGGACAAAAUGUAAUCCCUGCCCGCUGGGGGAGCGACAUGUGGAACAUUCGAAAUCCUCAGAAAUCUGCACACGCAGGUUUAUUAACGCUAUAUCUUUAUAUUCUAAUAGGGAUUUUACCGAUUCAAUACCGUCUAGCACAUUCCUGAUUUUCAUUAGAGUGCACAAGAAACCUUAUAUCGCAGUGCACCGUUCAUAGUAAUGUUAGUUUUAAAUUUAGGUAUAUGUAAACUAUUUUCAUAUGAAUUCAUGAAAUUUGUUGACAAAUUUGGUCGGAACAACUAUCUUUAAAAUAUAAGGGUACUUUAUUAACCAUUUAUUUGAUUUUAAAAUCUUUUUGUUUGACCUAUUAAAAAAGUUGACCGUUUUUGUUCAUACGAAUGUCGAAAAUCCUGAUAAUCUAUUUGAUACAUGAUUCUCAAUCGAAAUCGUUUUCAUAAAGAAAAAAAAAGGUAAUAAUCGAUUUUUUCAAGUUGCCACCUAGUGUUAAUAGCAAUUCAAAAAGUUUUUUAAAUCCAUUAUUCCUUCAAACACACCAAUACAUUCUGCAUAAUUUAUGCAACUAAUACCGACAGAUCUAGAAAGGUAUAUGUAACAUACUUUAGAAUUAAAAAUAAAAAGACGUUUUUAAUCUUAAACAGUCGCAUAAUUCUUUAUAAGUUUACAAAGUUUUUCAGUACCACUAAAUCAAAACAAAAACAUAAAUGACAGUUUGCCCGAAGUUCACAAGACCAUAAUCAAAAUUCGUACAUUUCACACGAAAUUCCUGAUACGAAUUUUUCGUUCGCGUAAAAGGAAUAUUUUUGUUUAUCCGUAAAGUAAUAGGACUGAGUCGAUUUAAAAAAAUUUAUGGAACCAAUCGUUCUUUAAAAACUUUCAAAAUAGGCUUCUUCUGCGUCGAUGCAGCGCAAUAAGGCUGAUAAACUUAAAUGGCGUAACAUAAUUUGAUACAUCAUUAUUUGAUUAGAGGCAAUAAUUUUAAUGAAACAAUAGGCUAUUUUUAUUUUAUUUAUUUUUAUUUUAUUUUAUUUUAUAAAAGCUUACAUAAUAAUACAAUUAUUAUACAAAUUUAAGAAAAUACGCAGCACUAGCAUCAUGGGCUAUCGGCCGACUGGUUAUGUUAUAUGCGUCGAAGAAGGUCGCUGUCUUUCAAAAAGUUGUAGAUUUUCGAAAUGUUGUUGCUUGAGGGAUCCAUCAAUAAAAUUAUUGGAUCAGUAUUGUUGAAGUUUGACAUUCUAUGAGUUUGAAGUGCUGGACAAUGUUGCAGAAGAUGCAAUAGAUUUAAAUCUGAAUCACAAAAUGGGCAUUGGUUGAUCUGAGUGCCAUUUAGUAUGUGAGCGUGUGUGAUAAUGGAGUGGCCAAUGCGAAGUCUGAUAUAUGGAAUGAUAUAAUUAGAUGAAAGCGAUGACGGAAAGGAUGGUUUGAUACGAUUUGAAUUUAUUCUAGAGUAGUGGUGUCUGUAAUUCAUCCAAUCAAGCGCCAAUUUAGUGGAUCUUUGUUGAAUAAUAAGCCGUUUUAUAUCACUCUUAGCAAACAAGGCAGAUGUAGUUGUUGGAGUGAUGCACACCUCCUUAGCCACCGAGUCCGCAAAAGUAUUUCCAAUGAUUCCAGAGUGACCGGGUAUCCACAUUAUUUUUAGUCUAUGUGCUAACGAAAACAACAGCGAUCUAAUGCCAAUAAUGACGUCAUUGUAGUUACUGCGGUUUUUUAAAGCUUGAAAACACGAUAGACUAUCUGUACAGAUGAUGAAUUUACCAAGGUUUUGUUGGGCAUACUGGACAGCUUUGAGAAUACCCGUAGCUUCAGCGGUAAAAAUUGAACAAAAUGGAAAUAAUAAACCAUACGAUAUUCUUUGUUGGUUAUCAUCAACUACAGCAAAAGAUGUAUGCGACGAUUUGGAGCCAUCAGUAUAUAUAAACUGCCAAUCAAAAGAUUUGAAGUGCGCAGAUAAUUCCAAAAAUCGAGAUUUAUACACAGUGCUUGGAGUGAUGGAUUUGCGAAGAAAAGUAAGAUCACUAAUGAAAGAAGAUUCAUUUACUUUCCACGGUGGAAUAAAUUUACUGCAAGGCAGCAAUAUUUUAAGCGGCAACUCAUUGGUUUUAGCAAACAAAGCACUUUUAAAAAUAGAAGACGGUAUUUUAGGAGACCUCUUUCUGCAAAGUGAUGAUUGAAAGUCCUUUUUUAUAGUAAAGUUCGUGCUGAGUAUGAGUUUUGAAUAAAGCUUAUUUAAGCUAUCUUCCACUGCAUCUUUUAGAGAAGGUAGGCCAGCUUCCGUCAGUAUGUUUUUAAUUGGCGAUGUUGGAAACACUCGAAGAGAACAACGAACUGAAGAAUGAUAGGGCGCAGCAAGCAUCUUUAGAUGAUUCUUAGAAUGAUGUCCAUAAAUUUCCAAGCCAUAAUUAAUUACAGAUGAGAUGAGGGCUUUAGUGACGUUGACCAGUAAAGCCGAGCCGAUGAGUGAGCGCUUACAUGAGAGAGUCUAAUACAAUACCAAGGAACUUAAUACUAUCUGUACACAAAAUGUUUGUAUUAUCAAAUGUGAGCGUUGGGAUAGUACAUUGAUGUUUUUUACAAAUAUGAAAAAGUUUCGAUUUAGGAAAAGAUAUUGAUGUGCCUGAAGUAGAGGACCAACGAGAAAGACGCAAUAAAAUUUCAGAGAAAGUAAUUGUUACUGAAGUCAAAUUUGAAGUUUUUGAGAAUAAAAUUAAAUCAUCAGCAUAAAUCUGAUGCCGGAUAGUAACAAAAUCUGAUAGAAUGGUACUGAUUUCAUCAAAUGCAAUAGUAAAUAGGAUCACCGAGAGCGGUGACCCUUGUGGGGUACCAUUAUCUAAUGGUAGAACAGAGGAUGAAACAUUGGAUAUGAUAACACUUAAUUUACGGUUGGAUAGGAAAGAUUUGACAAAGUUAAAAAUACGAGAACCCACUCUCCACCUACUAAGCUGUCUUAACACUACAUGAAUCCCAAUCCUGUCAAAUGCUUUUAGGAAAUCUAAAGAAAGAAUAGAAACGUGAUUUUUGUGGGAGAGAGUAUCAGAGAUAAAGUGAUCAAGGUGCAGGAGAGCAUCCAACGUACCCUGCCCCCUCUUAAACGCAACUUGGUUGUGCGAAAUGAGAUUAUUAGAUUGAGCAUACCAGGCGAGUCUAGUAGCAAUUUUCAAUCAAUUUACCAAGGCAAGGAAGAAGGGAAAUGGGACGAUAACUGCUGACCACACCAGGAGGUUUACCAGGUUUUAAAAUAGGAAUAAUCGCGCUAGUCUUCCAGAGGACAGGGUAGUUGCCACUGAGAAAAAUACUAUUGUAAAGUUUGACUAGACGGGAUAUAAGGAAUGGAGGAAGGUGCUUGAUGAUAAGGUAAGAGAUUUUAUCAAUGCCAGGAGUUUUGCCCUUGACUGACGAGAGGGCUAAAUUAAAAUCAAGUUCAGAUAUAUCGGCAUCUAAAUAUUCAGCUGAUUGAGAUAAGGUGGAAGGAGGAAGGUAAGGAGAGCAAAGAGAAGAAAGUUUACUAGAGGAAAAAUCAGAAGAGAAAUUGGAGUCCAAAGAAAUAUUGGAAAAGUGGGUGGCAAACUCUAAGGCUAUAUCUUUGGGUUAUAGUAGAGUGCCCCGAGGAGUAUUUAAAUAAGUGAUAGGAGAAAAAGGUGAUAAACCAGCCAGUCUUUUCAUAUCAGUCCAGAUUUUUCUAGAAUCCGAAGAAGAAGUGAUAUUAUUCGUAAAUUCUUGGAAACAAUGAACCUUAGCAGCCUUAGCUUUAUGGCGAAAAAAUGCAUUGGAUUUUUUGUAAGCUAUUAAGUUUGCACUAGAACGUAAACGUUUAAAUUGAUGCCAUGCGAUCUGUUUCAGAUUUCUUAGUGCAGAAAGCUCAUUAUUCCACCAAAGAGGAGCAAGCUUGACUGGUUUAGAAGAAGAAAGGGGAAAAGAAUAGUUAGAAGCAGAACGUAUAAUUUUUUGGAUUCUAGAAGCCUCUUGAUUUAUAUUGGAAGAAAAGGGGAAAUAACGUGAAUGCGAUAAACAGGCUUCUUCAAACCUAUCCCAAUCAGCCGAAUCAGUUUUAAACCGAAUCCUGGGCUUAAAAAAUGAAUGAGGGCGAGAAGUAGAUAUUUUGGAAAGGAUGGGAAAAUGAUCACUGCCAUGGAGAUCAUCAAUACAACACCAGGAUAUUUUUGAGGAGAGGGAGGCAGAACAUAUGGAAAGAUCAAUAUUAGUGAAGGUAGAGUGAGUGGAAAAAUGGGUGGGGGAACCAUCAUUUAAAACAAUGCAGUUGGAUCUUAGUAAGGCAUCCUCAAUGCUACGUCCCUUGGAGUUAGCCGAAGCAGAGCCCCAAAGGGGACUCCAAGCAUUGAAGUCACCACACAAGAUAAAAGGAUUUGAACCGGAAGGAAUAAGAUUUCAAAAUUCAGUAGUAGAAAAUGAUUGAUCAGGAGGGGAAUAAGCACAGAUGAUUGAAAUUUUAUAGGGGGCGAGGAUCUCAAUAGCUACAGAAGAAAAAAUUGAAAGGGGUAUGGGAAGUAAUACGUGAGGUAGAUUUCUUUUAACUAGGAUGGCAACUCCCUGCUUGUUGGUGGUGUUAUGUGGGAGAUUAAUAAAAUAUCCCACAUAAGCCCUAGGGGUAAAAGCUGAGGCAUUAUAAGAUAGGUGAGUUUCAUUCAACAGGAUAAUAGAUGGAUUGUACGAUCCCAUAAGUAACUCUAAGUUAAUAUAAUUAUUAACAUAACCGUUAAUGUUCCAUUGAAGAAGUGUAAUCAUAUCAUAUGUAAACUUAUAAAAGAAAAAAGUUAAGCUACGAAUAUUUUAUUUAAACUAAAUGUCUUCAUUGUAAGAAGGAAAAUUGGGUAAUGCAAGAGGAUCUUGCGAGCAGGAGAGGGUGGGGGAGGGUGUGAUAGGACAGGAGGAAAGGAUAUUGAGAGGAGAGUCAGAGAUGGAUAAAGGGGAAAAGAGAGGGGAAGGAGAAGUGACAGAAGAGGAGGUAGGAUGGGUUGGAAGGGAUUGUUUAGAUGAAUUGCUGUCUGUAGUUGUUGUUAGAUUAGUUUUGGUAGGAUUGUUGGAUUUGUUAUUAGGUGUUGUUUCAUUAUUGAUUUGAUUAGUAUUGUUAGAAAUUUUAGCUAUAGAGGCAAAAGAGUUUGCAUUAGAAGUUGUAUGAGAAAAUUGAAUUUUAUACUUGGUAACAGCUUCACGCAUACUACAUUUAUAAAUAGUUUUAAUUUUUAAUAUUUCUUUGGAUUGUUGAUAUUUAGGGCAAGUAUUAGAUGAUGCCGGGUGGUCGCCCGAGCAAUUUGCACACAUUAUUCUCUUACAUUCAGUAGGUGGGGUAUGAUCGGAAGGGAGGUUGCAUGAGACACAAGAAGGUGAAUUACGGCAGUAUUUUGCUGUGUGGCCAAUUAAUUGACAUUGCUUACAACGCAUAGGAUUAGGGUAAUACGGACGGACAGUGAGGUUCCUCCAGGCAACAUCAAUUCUUUCAGGAAGUUUGUAUUUAUCAAAAGUUAAUAAAACUACACCCGUAGGAUUACGGGAGCCGUCAGCAAUUCGUGAAAACUUAUGUACAGCAGAAACACCCUGCUCCUUAAGACCAUCAACAAUAUCUUCUUCUGAUAAGUUAUUCAGGAAUGGGGCGUAUAUGGUGCCUUUAACCGUAUUCAAAGUAUUAUGAAGCUUGACAUUGAUAUGACCUCCGCCAGGUAAAAUUUUUGCAGAAAGAAAUUUGCUAGCUGUUUUGUUGUUAUUUACAAAGAGCAGUAGGCUACCAUCACGUAGCUCAGUAACUUUACUUACUUCCUUACUGAUUGCUUGAAUACCUUUAUACGUAGCGAAGCAUGAUAACGAAUUAAGUGGCUUGUUGUCGUCCAGCGAUGACAUGACCAAAAAUUUUGGAUCAUCCGUGUUUGAGACUGGUAAUUCUAGAAAUUGGUCUAACGGGAUCGGAUUUGGUUUUUUUCUUUUCUUUUUCAUUAUUGGAGAUAAUAGGGAAAACCUAUUAUCCCCUAAUUUGGUGGCCCCAGGGGCCAUAGUAAACGCGAAUUUUAGUUUAACAAAUUAAGAAAUUAAGUGAUUGAAAAGAUAUAAAACGAUAAAAAAUUAAUUCACAAACAAAGCACGAGCGUAAUAUAAACGCAGAACAAACCGUUAUACCGUUUUAACAAACUCAAUAAGCACAGAGCGAAAAGCAACCGGUUACGAUGACAGUUCGACGGUGUAUGUAGGCUAUUUUUAAGAACUAUAUUUGAUCUAGAAUUUGAUAUUUUUCUGAUCAUUCAAAACAAAGCUAUGCUGGGUUCAAAAAUGCAUGCGCCUUAAAAUAUUAUUUCAGUUAACGGUAUUUCGCAAUAGUAUUAUAUAAAAAACAACAUAACUAAGGAAGGAUUAAGUUUAAGUAUAAACCAGAGAUUAGCUUUGUGUAUAAUCGAGUCUAUUUAAUCACACGUGCUUGAAUUAAGUAAGCGAGUGUGACAUAACACUUUUUAUAAACAUGUUCGAUUGAAUUUGGAAUCCGAACCGAAAAUAAAGCAAACACGCAAUAACACCUAUUUUCCAGGUAAUACAGCGAACUCGAGUUUUAUGUAUAUUAUAUUUUUUUUUUUGGAAUACAUCAUUCACGAAUUUCCUAUUAUAUUGGGGUGUCGAAAAAGUCUUGCGGUAUUUUUAUUGAAUCAAUUCGUGUGGCACCCAUACAUCGAGCUUCUUAGUAACUCCAAGCUUCUUGAAAUGGUUUAGAACGGUUUGAUGACUACUAUGCCGGUCUCUUUCGACCAAUUCAGCGAUUUUAUUGCAAUUUUCGACGACAGGUCUUCCGGAGCGUGGGACAUCUUCGACCACCUCUACACCAGAACGAAAACGUUGAAACCAUCGUUGUGUGGCGGAAAUGAAAUUGUAUCGGGUCCAUAAACUGCACAAAUUUUAUUGGCGGCUUGCCUUUAUCGUAGUAGUACUGUAAAAUAUGCCGUAUUUUCUCUUUAUUUUGCUCCAUGUGUGCGACGCUAUAACUCACGAACGACUUAAAAGAAACGGCAAUCAAUCAAACACGUGAUAGCGCGUGAAAUGAGCUUUCCAAAAAGGACGAAUAAAACUAGAACGACGCGCUUUCAGCGCCAACUAGCGAAAAUACCGCAAGACUUUUUUGACAAUCCAAUAUAUAUUAGGAAGUAUUGAAUACGCGCAUUUUUUUACAUAUGUAUGCAACGGGCGGAUUUUGACUGAGACCGAUAUGGUAACAAUGUCAGUGUAUGUGUUAUACAUAUAUAGUAUAUGUAUAUAUAAAAUUGCUUGAACUUCGAUCUUCUGGUUUACGUUUUACACCUUUUAGUAUUCCCUGCCUUUGAUUCGUGAAAGUUGCAAGAGUAUAAAAUGUUCGGUUGCACGCGAACUUAACCCUUCCUUACAUUUUUGUUUAAUGUUCGCUUUUAGUACUUCUUUUGCAGCUAUAUCAUCACAAUUCGGUUCUCAAAUGAGCUUUUUUUUAAUUGAAUGUGAAAAACAUAGCAAUAAAUGUGAAGAACUGCAAAGCUGUAAUUUCUCGUACAGUUUCAAAAUUCUUACAUAAUUCAAACAAGACUUUAAGAACGGGUACAUUAAGCUAUAGCAAUCGUUGGCUUUGUUCGUAAUCAAUCCGAAUGUUGUUAAUUUCAAAUCUAUUGUCAAUUAUGGAUUUAAUCAUUCCACCGAAUUUGAUAUUGGGCUUUCAAUGAAGUGGAUCUUUAUCUAUCAUCUAUUUACUUUUUUGGAAAUUUUUUUGCAAGAUUAAAACCUAUUUGAGCUCUUCAAAACGUGCCAUAAUGAAUUUAUUUGGUCCAUUAUUCUGAGCACCAUGUUUCUUAAAAAGACUUAAGGUGUUUUUUUUUUUUUAAUUUUCAACCAGCAACAUAUCUUACAAUUUUAAGUCUUUUUCGUAGUGAAAGGUGACGCCUAAGAAGUUCUGCUUUACGUAGUUGUCCGUUCACAUGUCGAUUGUAGCUGAAGCUCUACCUCUGCUUACACUUUUAUUUAAAAAAGAUCUUUUUGUAUUCGUAUAUUUUUGAGCUCAGCGGGAAACUGUUUUCGCGUUAAGGAAAAAAUCAUGUUCUUUGACGAGUUCGCCGUACAUUUUACCGAUCGUGCUAAAGAAUUUUAACAGUUUCAAGAAGCCAAUAUCAUGCACACUUUCAGUUUUUGCAAGGAAAAAAGCCAUGUUGACAAAACUUUAUUUUAAAAACAAAGUCAAUAUUCAUCAUUUGAAGAAAUCGUGUACGGAUUACAAUAAAAUUUGGUAUUUUAUUAGUUAUAUUAUAAGCCAUAGACACACGCUAUAUUUUACUUCGCGUGUGCCAAAUUAUAUUAGGCACUGGGAUCCCCAUAUUCGCUAUAUGAAGACUUGAACUAUUAUGGUUCGAUUUUAACAAUUUUUCGACUUCAGAUACCUAAUUACAAAAUGUUAAAAUUUUAGUUUUUGACAUUUCCUAAGUACAUUCAAUCAAUUAGUGUAAGAUGAAUUUUUACAAUUAUAUGUACCUGCAUACGAAAUGUAUAAAAAAAUGUGUUUAUUACCGUGCGAUUCUGUAACCAGUCUUUAGUCUCUAUAUGAGUCAUUUUGGGUCAAAAUCUCAAUUUGUGACUAGCUACUAUUCACUAAACAGUCUCUAGCGUUAGUCUCAAAAUAUUGAGACCUGGUAGUUAGCAGGUCACAAAACUAAAAAGAACUCUUGUCUGCCAUUUUGAAUAUACUGAAUAGAGAUCAUCAUAGAUAUUAAUCGAUUGUCGUUUCUUUAUAUUUUGUAAGCAACUCAAACACGAAAAGAUGAAAAAUAAAUCAAUUUUACAUAAAUUUCGUAAAUAUUAUGAAACAAAGUCAACAUAUAUUUUUAUUUUUAUUGAUAAUUAUGUUUUUUGACUAUGCUAUAGGAAAUUUAAUAUUUGUUAUCGACAUAUUUAUUUUCAUUCAAGUGUAAAAACAUAUCUUAAUAAUGAAAUGUAAUAGAUUUUGUACUGUCACUUACAGAAUAGCAAAAUAGUCUCAAGUCGCAAAAAUUGUCUCUAACUCAAAAUCUCAAAUUUAGAGACUUGAGACUGUCUCACGUUACAGAAUCGCACGAAUAGUUUUGUGACCUGCUAACUGUCAGGUCUCAAAUUUGAGGCAAUAUUUUGAUACUAACGCUAGAGACUGUUUAGUGAAUAGUAACUAGUCUCAAAUUGAGAUUUUGCCUCAAAAUUACUCAAAUAGAGACUAGAGACAGGUUACAGAAUCCCGCUAUUAAUCUUACAUUUUCGAUUGACAUCAUCAUCUUCAUCUUCGCUUGCUUCAUCGGAGUCGGUAGCUUGCGAUUGACAUUUAGAACGUUGGCAUAUAAAAAUAUAGUUUUCUUUAACAACCUACAAAGACAUACCAAAAAGUUGUGAUUACAGCUUAGGGACUUAAACAGUUAGUUCUACAUUUUAUUUACUUUUUGCCUCGAAUGUCUGCUGCGCUUCAGCAGGCACUCAUCCAAGUAAGAUAUGCAAACUACUUUUACCAGUUUGUAUAGGUGCUACCACUUUCUGCACAACUAAGUAUAUCGUUAGAAUAAGGAAAUGUCGAAUGAACGUUUACCGUUUGAGUGCAUUCAUACAACUGGGGUUAAUCUUGCUUUGAAGUAGAUACUGGACUGUAUCCUUAGUGUUGAGAAAUUGUUAUUAACUUACAGCCUCCCACUUUAUUGUUAAAGUUUUUUCAAUACAUUUGUCAAGUUUUGUUUUAUCCCUUUCAGGCAUUGGUAAAUCGCUUACUUUUUCCAUCCAUUCCGCCAACAAACUCGUCGCAAUGCCCUGACUAUUUGCGCCAAUCAUACCCAUUAAUGUCUUAAAAACCUCCGCGUUGGUGAACUUAAGGCAAAUACUUGAAAAUAUGUAAAACAAUUAUGGCAAAUGCUAUACAAUAUGCUAAAAAAAAGUUGUUCCAUAUGUAUUCACCCAACAUUUUGUUCGGUAUUCACUAAUAGCGAUUGGAAGGAUCGAAAUGACUGGAGAAACGGUUCUUUUUUUGUUACUUUUUUAUACAUGUCCACAACAAUUAACAUAAUUGUACCAGUCCCUGGUAGAUAAUACAAUUUUCUGAAAGUUUCGAAAAUCUUGAAAAAAGUAAUGUUCCAGUUAUUUGUUUACACAUACUUCCAUAUUUCAUUCAAUUCAUUCAUUGGGUGUGUGUCCUCUUGUGGAAUCACCAAUGCAAGCAAUUCGAUAGUAUUUAUUUAAAGCCUCAAUACGACAAUCUUCGGAACAGUAUUGAACUUUACAAUUUGGACAUUUUGUAUAUUGUUGCCACAAUGCUGUUGUUGGAUCGUAUUAUGCAUUGUUUUUCAAAUCAGUAAAUUUUUAGGAAUAACAUCUAAUCAAGGACUUACAUAUAAACACAAUGUUAGUUUUUUGACGACACACCAGCAAAUUGAAAAGUGUUGAGUGUCAUCUAAAGACACAUAGAAAACAGUAAGUAUAAUUUAUAAAUCAAUAGUUAAUUUAGGCAUUACACAGCUAGGCCUACCUGUGUAGCAGAUUCGCCCAAACUCUGCCAGAGCUUUUCUUCAACAUUCCUAAUGCCUGCUGUUAAUGCAUAUCAGCAAUCAAGCAUUCGAAUGCCCAUUUCUUGCAGCCAAUUGCUACAGGGUAUUAUACGAGGUGUGUUCAAAAAGUAUCGCGAAUUUUGUGUUUUUUCAAAAAUUAUUUAUUUAUUCAUGAAUAUCUAUUUUGUCCCCUUCAAAGUAAUCCCCAUGAGAUAUUAUACACUUGUGCCAACGGUUUUUCCAAUCUUCGAAGCACUUCAAAAAAUCAUUUUUUUAUCUUCUUCAGCUCUUCCUUCGAUGCCGUCUUUAUCUCGUCAAGAGAAGCGUAACGUCGUCCUUUCAUGGGCCUCUUCAGUUAAGGGAACAAGAAAAAGUCACAGAGGGCCAGAUCUGGGGAAUACGGUGGCUGCGGCAUCAUUAGUGUGUUGUUUUUGGCCAAAAAGUCGCGCACAAGCAACGAUGUGGCAGGGGCGUUGUCGUGGUGCAAUUUUUUUGAUAGGUAAAAAUCGAAGACGAUCCAAAACACGUGCAAGCAAAGCAGCUGUCAACAAUUAAAUGAACAUUCAAAAUGGCCGAGCUUGUCGGCAUAAGUGAAAGACAUGAGUACCAACAUAACGCCACAAAAAAUUCGAAUAUACGUAACCCGCGAAAAUUCAAAAUUCGCGAUACUUUUUGAACACACCUCGUAUUGUAGUUUUGUUCACCUAACGGUUGUACGUAUCACCUAAACCUAACCGACAGAUAUAGGUUUAUCUAUAUAUGUAUGUACAUAUAAAUCAUCAGGGUGAAGAGAAAAGUUGAAAUCAGGGAGAGCACUUCUCUGAUAAUGGUAUGUCUGUAUGUUAAAAAUCUUGAAUCGGGUCCAUACUUCCCAGAGAUACCAUAUACCUAAUAUAAAGAUUUUCUAACUUCUAGGUGACUUUAUGCUGAAUAUAAAAUACCAAUAUUUGAGUUAUCUCAAUAAUAAUUACAGAGCGUGUUUUACUCAUUACAGUAUGUUUUUGUGCCUAAAAUAGAUAAAUAUGAGCGAAAACUUGACAUACGAGUAUAACUAAUAGCAGGAUUUUCGAACAUCCGGCUGACUUUACUAUACGAGUAUAUGAUUAGUUUUUUAGUAUGUGACAUGUUAAUAACGGGUGAUUUUUUUGAGGUUAGGAUUUUCAUGCAUUAGUAUUUGACAGAUCACGUGGGAUUUCAGACAUGGUGUCAAAGAGAAAGAUGCUCAGUAUGCUUUGACAUUUCAUCAUGAAUAGACUUACUAACGAGCAACGCUUGCAAAUCAUUGAAUUUUAUUACCAAAAUCAGUGUUCGGUUCGAAAUGUGUUUUAUCGACAAAUUUUGUUCAGCGAUGAGGCUCAUUUCUGGUUGAAUGGCUACGUAAAUAAGCAAAAUUGCCGCAUUUGGGGUGAAGAGCAACCAGAAGCCGUUCAAGAACUGCCCAUGCAUCCCGAAAAAUGCACUGUUUGGUGUGGUUUGUACGCUGGUGGAAUCAUUGGACCGUAUUUUUUCAAAGAUGCUGUUGGACGCAACGUUACGGUGAAUGGCGAUCGCUAUCGUUCGAUGCUAACAAACUUUUUGUUGCCAAAAAUGGAAGAACUGAACUUGGUUGACAUGUGGUUUCAACAAGAUGGCGCUACAUGCCACACAGCUCGCGAUUCUAUGGCCAUUUUGAGGGAAAACUUCGGACAACAAUUCAUCUCAAGAAAUGGACCCGUAAGUUGGCCACCAAGAUCAUGCGAUUUAACGCCUUUAGACUAUUUUUUGUGGGGCUACGUCAAGUCUAAAGUCUACAGAAAUAAGCCAGCAACUAUUCCAGCUUUGGAAGACAACAUUUCCGAAGAAACUCGGGCUAUUCCGGCCGAAAUGCUCGAAAAAGUUGCCCAAAUUGGACUUUCCGAAUGGACCACCUAAGACGCAGCCGCGGUCAACAUUUAAAUGAAAUUAUCUUCAAAAAGUAAAUGUCAUGAACCAAUCUAACGUUUCAAAUAAAGAACCGAUGAGAUUUUGCAAAUUUUAUGCGUUUUGUUUUUAAAAAAAGUUAUCAAGCUCUUAAAAAAUCACCCUUUAGUAUGUGGUAUUGGGAAAAAUAGAUAAAAUCUGCUCGAUAUUACCUCAACUGCCAUACUACGUAUAAUGGUUUUCGUUUUUCUUACAAACCUUAUGUGUCUGUCAGUAUAAGAGUUAUACUACUGUGUCCAAAAAAUAUGAUGACAUUUGCAUUUAAAUUGCGCGCGUCGAAGAAUGUGGAGAAUUAUUUUUUUUAGGUUGGUAGUACUGUCAGUCACAUUUAUGUCAAAUUUCAUGUCAAAAUAUUCAUUAGUAUUUGAGAUACGUGUCGUUUUGUGAGCUGCUAAAAGUGAGUUUUUCGUUUUUUGCGAUGUCGAAAUUUGUUGAGCAAAGAAUUUGCAUUAAAUUUUGUUUAUGGAAUCAAUUUUCUGCUGAGAAUACGUUGAGGAUGGUGCAGAAAGCCUUUGGUGAUGAGGCUAUGUCUAAAAAAAUGUUUACAAGUGGUAUAGUAAGUUCCAAGCCGGCCGUGAACGUGUCGAAGACGAAGAGCGUCCAGGGCGACCAUCAACCUCAACCGACGAAGCUCACGUUCAACAAAUCAAAGAUUUGGUGUUGAAAAACCGUCGAUUAACAAUUAGAGACCUUGCUAAUGAAGUUGGCAUAUGGAAAGGCUCAGCCCAUACCAUUUUGAAGGAUGUUUUGGGCCUCAAGCGCGACAAAUCUCGACUGGUACCGAAAACAUUGAAUUUUUUGGAAAAAAGGCGUCGCGUUGAAGUGUGUGAAAUGAUGCUUUCCGACUACCAGGGUGUCAUGAAAUGCAUUAUAACUGGCGAUGAGACUUCGAUCUAUGCUUACGACCCCGAAACAACCGAUCAAUCGACCGAUUAUCGUGCCAAAAGAGAGCCGAGACCAAAAAAAUCGCGCCAAAGUCAAAAAUCAAGGUCAUGUUGACGGUUUUCUUCGAUUAUCGUGGUGUUGUGCAUUAUGAAUUCCUUCCAACCGGUCAAACAGUCUACAAAGAAUAUUAUUUGAACGUUAUGCGUUGUUUGCGUAACGCUAUCCGCCUAAAAAGGACGGAAUUGUGGAAAGACAAUUCUUGGUUUUUACACCACGAUAAUGCACCAUCCCAUACUGCCCUCGUAAUUCGUGAUCAUUUCGCCAAAAACUCAACCCAUAUCAAUCCGCAACCACCGUAUUCACCUGAUCUGGCGCCGUGCGACUUCUGGCUGUUCACCAAGCUCAAAAGACCGCUCCGGGGACACCGUUUUUAUACGAUAGAAGAGAUUCAAGCCGCAGCGAAGACGGAACUGAAGGAAAAUCCGUUGGCAUAAGUGCUUUGCAUCGGGAGGGGAUUACUUUGAAGGGGAUGAAAUUGAUUUGGAGGAAUAAAUAAAGAAUUUUCAAAAUAAAUACAAUGUUACCUUAUUUUUUGGGCUCAGUAGUAUAUAGUAUAUGUAAAUAUAAAAUAGUUUGGAUUUCGAUCCUUAGGUUGAUGUUAUUCACCAUAAAGUAUUUCCCUGACUUUGAUUAUUGUAAGUUGCAAGAGUAUAAUAUGUUCGGUUGCACCCAAAGUUAGCGCUUCCUUAUUUGUUUUGUUAUCACUAUUGUCGAAAUUAAAAAAAGGAAACAAUAAGAACACUUUGUAACACAUAAUGCCACAAUCAAUAAUAAUGAUACUGUUAAUCACUUUGCACACAUUUUUCACUUACAGUAAAUGUUAAAACAUAAAUUUUCAAAUAACGGGGAGUCCAAUCGCAUUUUUUUUAUUGAUAUUACUAGCUGCAUUCCCUAUUAUCCGACGCCUUUGUUCUUGCUUAUCUUUCUUUGGUAUAACGCGUGGUAUUUCGCAUUCAAUUUAACAGCAUAUGUCGAAUUAUUCCAUGACAUUCGUAGAAUCCACAAUUUUUUAUUAAGGCUAUUCACUGCAUCUUUUCUUAUUGAACUAGCCAGUGCAUGUUGUAAGAUUUACCACGGAAAUACAUAUGUGUGGCUGCAUGAAAUUUGAAUGAUAUAUCAAAUAUAUUAAAAGUACUACUUCCAAUUAUUUAAGAGAAGAGAAUUUUCCAUUACAAAACAAAAGAUUAGGUAUUGAUAUGUGGUAGUGUAAGAGGUUUUUUUUUUUUUAUAGUAGGGGGGGGAAGCAUCGAAAGCCGGAGUGCGGAACUUUAAUUCGUUAAACCUAACCUACUCCCAGCUCAAGACUCUCCCACGGAACCACCGGCUAAGUAUUACUUCGUGGGAGGGACAAGACAUUUAAGUCUCCUCUAUCGUGCGGACUGAAGGACUCCUAAUGUGUUCAAAAAGUCUCAGUUUUGACAUUAUGGAUGCUGACGCUUCGCUAACAGCUUUCCAUUUAUCGGUCGACUGACACAUGAGUGUCGUUAAAUUAUCGACUGUAAAACUACCACCUAGUGUGGUUUUUAGUUUUUCCCUUGUAUUUGAAAAUCUAGGGCAAUAAAAUAGUACAUGUUCAGAGUCUUCUAUAUGCUCUGUACACGUCGGACAGUUCGGACUAAUGUCAUUGUGGAAUCUGAAAAGGUAGCUUCUGAAGCACCCAUGUCCACUAAGUAUUUGGGUCAGAUGAAAGUCUAGGUCCCCAUGUCGUCUGUCUAUCCACGAAUGGAUGUCCGGUAUAAGUCGGUGGGUCCAACGCCCUUUGGAUGAGGGAUUCCACCGCUCCUGCCACAUUUUAAUGCUUUUAUUCCUCUCCUCUGUCUUUGCCGAUACUGUUUUAGGUGCCGAUAGAUGAUAUAUAUAUCUCCAUGGAUGUUAAUGGGCGGCAUGCUGGCUAAUACUUCAGCAGCGUCGGUAGAUGUAGUCCGAAAAGCACUUAUUACUCGGAUUGCAGAAAGCCUAUGCACUGCAAUUAUUUGUUUAGCAUAUGCUUUUAUAUCUAUUGCCUGUAUCCAUACUGGUGCUGCAUACAGUAUUACGGAGCUCAUUGCUUUCGCACACAGCCUGUAUUGGUCAUCAUUCUCGAUAGUGCAUUGUAAAUUUUGUUUGCUUUACUGGAUGAAUACUCCAGGUGUUCUUUAAAUUUUAAUUUAGAAUCUAAUAUUACUCCCAGAUACUUCAGUUGCGGCUGCGAAGUAAUCUCGCACUCCCCUAUGGAGAGCUCUAUUUGUUCUUCUACCUUCCUGGUGCUUAUAAGCAAAACUUUAGUUAUUUUCUCCGACAGUUCCAGACUCACAGAUGAGAAGCAAUGGCGUAGACCAUUUAAGCACUCAUUGCAUUUGUUUCUUAGGUCGGCUAAUUGUUUGGCCACUGCUACCACCAUGAUAUCGUCCGCAUACGCUAUUAGUCUGUUGGUUGCUGUCUUUUUAGCACCCCGUCGUACAUGAGGUUCCAUAAUAAUGGGCCUAACACUGAUCCUUGGGGUACUCAACUCGAGAUAGAGUAGCUCUUGAUACCUUCGUCUGUAUCAAAAAGUAGCCUUCUGUUUUUAAAAUAGCUCAAUAUAAUGUUUAUGAGGUAUUCAGGGGCGUGUAUUCCAUCUAGGGAUUCGAUUAUGUGUGCCCAUUUUGCCGAGUUGAACGCGUUCCUGACAUCCAGGGUAAUCAGCGAGCAGUACUUUUUUGUGCCACCUUUCCAUCUUUUGCCACUUACUGCACAUUUCGCAGUAUCAACGACUUUUCGUAGUGCGUCAUUAGUGGAUCUCUUUUUUAUAAAGCCGUAUUGUCUCUCUGAUAAUCCGCCGGCUUUCUGGAUUGCUAACUCCAAGCGGUUUCUUAUUAUAUUUUGUACACUUUACCCAUUGUGUCGAGCAUACACAGUGGUGGGUACGAUGUGGGUUCUUCAGGUGGUUUCUUUGGUUUUGGGAGCAGAACCCAUCGGUGUAUUUUCCAUACGUCGGGGAACACCUCUUCCUUUAUACACGCGUUGUACAUUUUAGCGAAUAGUUGGAGUUUUGAGCUUAUAGCUACCUUCAGGGCCCUGUUGGGUAUCCCAUCCAACCCAGGCGAUUUGGUGUUUUUGAUUUUCUUUGCUAUAGCCAAUAGCUCUUCUUCCGUGACUAACGGGGGUGGAACUGCAUCUUCGUUUCGUCGCUUAGCAUAGGAAAUCCGGUCGUGUCUCGGGAACAAUGUUUCGACGACUUUUCCCAUAAAAAAGGCAUCUUUAGGUUGCUGCUGCUUAUUUUUAAAUCUCGACAUACGUUGUAAGCAGUUCCCCAAGGGUCAAUAUUUGUUUCCUCACAGAGCUUCUAAAACAUGAUUUUUUGCUCUGGGUAAUUGCCGACUUUAGGAGCUUCUUGUGACUUUUAAAUUCCUCCCUAAGGCGAUUUUCGUUCGUUUCGCCCCAGUUACGCUGUAGACGUCGUCUAGCUGAGUGACAAAGCUUUCUCAGCGUGGAAAUUUCCUCAUUCCACCAAUAUACAGGCCGCCACUUGUUGUGGUGUGACGUUCUACGCAUUGUUGCAUCGCAUGCUGCCACCAGUUCUUUUCGAACUGCUGAUACCAAGUGGGCGGCGCUGUCACCAGAUGCCUUUGGUGCACUCCAGACUAGGUCAAACAGGUCUGGGUCGAACUCUUGUUGUUUCCAACUUCGCUUUCGAGAGGGGUUUCUGCCAAGAAGCUUCUGCUCUCGGGAGUACGAAAUUUGUGCUAUGAUUGCCAUGUGAUCACUGUUUGUGUAUAUGUCGGACACUGCCCACUUAAUGUGCCUGCUCAGCGAAUCGUUUGCAAACAUAAUGUCAAUUAUGGAUCCUUUAUUCCCUUUUUGGUACGUAUUUUGUGUUCCGGUGUUCAAUAUUGAUAGAUGCGUUUGACUCAGGUAUUCUUGAAUUAGCCGCCCUCGGUGGUUUGUACAUCUACCGCUCCAUGCAGUUGACCAAGCAUUAAAAUUACCCGCUUUUAUAAUCGGUGUUUUGCUUCUGGUUUCUAAUGAAUGUCUUAAAAGGAAAUCCUCGAAUUCGGUGGUUGCUGGGCUGGGACGAGCAUAGCAGCUUACGAAAUAUAUCCAAUGUAUAUUCGCCCAUGUGAAGCAGUUAUGAGCUUCUCUAGAGCAGGUCUUAAAAGGUUGACCUUUGCAGGACCAUAUUGCUGCCUUACCAGAUUCGUCUGCAAUCCAUGUGCUUUCCGAAAUUUUACAAAUGUAGUUGUGAAAUGAUUACCCCCGUCUGGUAGAGUAGUCAGCAUUAUAUUACCUACCGAGUUUGAACGAAAUCCAUAUAUUACUUCCUGAAGAAUAGGUUUUUACUCAAAGGUGGGCGGGGCCACGGCUAUUGUCCAAUAUUUAAAGAGGCACCUGUAAAGCUCGACCGAAACUUCCUAUGUGUAAUAUUUAAUGUCUCUGACAUGUUUAUUUAGUGACUCAUCACACUUUUCGUUUCCAUUAAAACUGUUAUGCACAUACAAGGUCUGUCGCAAAAGAAACAGAACUUUUUAAAUAUAACUGUUUCUGGUGGCGCCACCUAUUAGUGGGUGUAAGAAAUAAAAAGUUUGAUCUCCUGUUGACAUUUCGUAAAAAUUUUAAUACAAUUCGAUAACUACAAUCGAUGUUAUCGAUCAAAAAGUGACAGCAGCUUUUGGUCAUCGGUCGUAAAAUGCUUUUUGAACAAAGAGCAAAUAUUAAAUUUUGUUUUAAACUUGGGAAAACUUUUACUGAAAUAUUUCAAAUGAUGAAAAAAGUUUAUGGUGAUCAGUGCCUAUCCCGUAGUAAUGUGCACUCGGUUUAAGCGAUUCCAAGAAGGUCGCGAGGACCUCUGUGACGAUCAAACGGCCAAACGAUUAAUGCUGUGUUUUACCUUGGUGUUAUGAAGCGUCUUUUGUCACGCAUUCGUCGUGAGCGACCACUACCGUGAGGCAGGGUCUUGGCACCUGUUGCACGAUAAUGCGCCGUGUCAUCGGUCGACGUUUGUCACUGAUUUUUUGACAAAAAACUCCAAAUUAACCGUUAAUCACUCACCCUACUCACCUGAUCUGGCACCCUGUGAUUUUUACCUAUUUGGAAAACUUCAUUUGCCCAUGAAAGGACAUUGGUUUCAGGACAUUUCAGCUAUCCAAAAGGCGACGACCGAUAUUCUCAAGAGCAUUCCGAAAAAUGACCUUAAACACUCAUUUCAAAUGCUAAUUGACUGGGCUAAACGCUGUAUCGCAGCACAAGGAAACUACUUUGAAUAAAAAAAUAUAACUUUUGAAAAAUAUUAAUUUUUUGUUGUUGUUUUUUAACAGUCCUGUUCCUUUUGCGACAGACCUUGUAUCUUCUCUAUUACAUUGUGAUGGUACGUUGUAAGGCGCUCACUGUAUUAAAUCGAUUUUUUGUCCAUCAAUCUGAAAUUAAAAGACGUGGACUGUGUGAAUCGGUGCUUUAUCUAUCGUGCAAAGCUUCAAUUAAGUUUUUAAAAUGGAGAACCAGUCGUUCCAACUUAAGUUAGUCCUUAUGAAAAUUAUGGAAAUUAUAAUUAUAUCCAACGGGCCUUCCAUAAUAACUUUUUUUUGUUCUUAAAAGAUAAGGAAGCGUCAACCAAAAUAUCAAUAUCAUCGGCAUACGCCAGCAGCUUUACACUCUUAUAAAAAAUUGUACCUCCUCGAUUAAGUUCUGCAGCUCGAAUUAUUUUUUCCAGCAGCAGAUUGAAGAAGUCGCACGAUAGGGAGUCGCCUUGUCUGAAACCUCGUUUGGUAUCGAACGGCUCGGAGAGGUCCUUCACGAUCCUGACGGAGCUCUUGGUGUUGCUCAACGUCACUUUACACAGCCGUAUUAGUCUUGUGGGGAUACCAAAUUCAGACAUCGCUGCAUAAAGGCAACUCCUUUUCGGCCUGUCGAAAGCAGCUUUGAAAUCGACGGAGAGGUGAUGUGUGUCGAUUCUCCUUUCACGGUCUUUUCCAAGAUUUGGCGCAUGGUGAAUAUCUGGUCGGUUAUUGAUUUGCCAGGUCUAAAGCCACACUGAUAAGGUCCAAUCAGUUUGUUGACGGUUGGCUUUAAUCUUUCACACAAUACGCUCAAUAGAACCUUAUACGCGAUGUUGAGGAGGCUUAUCUCACGGUAGUUGGCGCAGAUUGUGGGGUCUCCGUUUUUGAGGAUUGAGCAGAGCACACUUAAAUUCCAAUCGUUGGGCAUGCUUUCGUCCGACCAUAUUUUACAAAGAAGCUGAUGCUUGCCCCUAAUCAGUUCUUCGACGCCGUGUUUGAAUAGCACACCCGGCAAUACAUCGGCCCCGCCGCUUUGUAGUUCUUCAGGCGGGUAAUUGGUAUUCGAACUUCCUCAUGGUCGGGCCAUGGAACGUCAUCCGAAGCAGUUGGUAUCCUUUCAUUGGGGGCGUUUUUUACGUGGCGGGUCCCAAACCCAGCGCACAACCCUGUGUAGGGGAUAAUUCGCCUUCUCACUUUAGCUCGCCUUGGUACGGAUGUUCUUAGGCUACCCAGAAGAUACUUUGUUCUGAUCGUUUUAGGCCACUCCCAAGUGAAUGGCGGCCAGAGAUCUUUCCCCACUUGCGCGAACUUCUACACAUGACUCCAUCCUCCUGAAUAUCUGGUCAGUUUUUGAUUUUCCAGCAUAAAGCCACACUGAUAAGGGCCAAUCAGUUUGUUGACAAUGGGCUUUAAUAUAUCACACAGUAGUGUUCUCGAAAGAACCUUAUAUGCCAGAGGCUUCCCCCAUGGUAGUUGGCGCAAAUUGUGAGAUUUCCCAUUUUGAGGAUUGGGCAGAUCACACUUUAAUUUCAUUCGUCCGGCAUGCCCUCGUCUGACCAUAUUCUACAAAGAAGCUGCAGUCACUAGAUCACCUCUGGAUGUUCUACAACAGUCUUAAAACUUUCUGUUAGACGCCGCAUCUUUUGGUAGAAUUUUCUUGCAUUACCCUAAUGGCCAGCGUGUCAAGCUCUUCAUACUCACGCAUUUCAAUCUGUCUAUUUUUUGUCUGAAAAUUCUUCUUGGUUCCCUCUUUAGCUCUCGGUAUAUAUCCCACGUGUUGUGGUCGAUUGAAACAUUGCGAGGUAAGCAGUCUGUUUUCUCUCCGCUGCUAUACGACGUUGUUCGAGUCAAUGUUAAGAUGUUUUUCCGAAGACAUCCUGGUGGCUUGAUGAAUUUUCUUAUGCUGGAAUCUAGUACUACAGAUAACCAUAGUUCGGACCCCGGAGAAGUCCAUCAGCCUCAACCCACUUGGGGAUGUUUCAUCUUUGAUGGUGAAUUUACCGGCCGUUGUGUUCAAGAUAUCCUCCUUGGACAUCCUGGCGCUAAAGUCGCCAAGCACGUUUUUGACAUCUCUCUCUCUUUCACCACGAAUCCCACACCGAAUCUGCGCUCCUUUAUAGUACUACUGUAGUAAAUACCGCAAGGACCAACUCGUCUCAUUCCUUGACCCGUCUAUCGCAUUUCUUGACCGGUGGUGAUUUCAGCCUUUCUUUUUACGAGGACAUCAACCAUCUGAGCAGCGGCACCUUUCCAACUAAGGGAACGAACAUUUCAGGUGCAUAUCCUCAAAUCAUAAUCCUUAAGACGUUUUCAGGGGUCGCCACAAUCUCUGGGGAGGGGAUGUUACGCCUUCAUACGGAUGUUUUUUUGGCUACAAAGGUCUUUGGUGUAAGACAGGAAGUUGUGAGCUGCUUGAACCAUACAUAAGAGAAUCAUUCCUGGCCACUCCCAAGUGAAUGUCGCUCAGGGAACUUUUCUUUCUUAUGUGAACUGCUACACAUGGCUCCAAUGCCAAACAGUGCUGAACAAAAAUAACAUGACGGCUUGACACAACACACGCCUGACCAGUCAAAAGGCUAUAGAAAAUGGUACUUGGAUCACCCGUUAUAAAAGCUCCUCAUCUAAAAAAAAGAUAAAUGUCACGAUGGUGUUAUGGUUUGGAGAAUAGUAGUAUAUUUUGACGUUUUCGAAUUUCAAGUAGACUUCAAAAUGGAUGUAGACACUUAAAUAGAAUAAGCUUUAAUAGAGAUAUAGGGUAAGUUUGGUUUUGGUAUUUCUUUAAGGCAAUAUUUAUUUUAACAAUUCAAGUUGAGCUAUUUGCAUACAUUUGAUGAUUUAGUUGGGGCUGGUGACCAGUUUUGGAAGUUGACGCUAUGUACCCUUUUUUCAGAACUUUUUUGGCCGUGGGUAGAAUUAGAAUCCUACUGGAAUCGGGAAUGGUCGAGAUAUAGCUGUAUGCUUUUUUGCAUACCCUAAAUACCUCUAUUCUAAUACAGUCAUUCAUCUACUCAGCUAGUUCGUGAUCCAUCAUACCUCCAAUAUACGCACGAUUAACAACUCAAAAUUUAAAAGAUAAAAUUAUCUUUGAUGAAUUAAAUAUCUAUACUUUUCUAUAUUUUGGCUUUGUAUGUAUAUAAAUUUCAACUUUU